rnacentral:lncRNA from 13 species
UGUGGAUGCGGACCGCGAAUCAUCAGCGACAACCCCGGACCGGGGAUCGUCGCCAGAGAGCCUUGACCGGGGACCGUCGCUGGAGGUUCCGGACCGGGGACCGUCGCUGGAGGUUCCGGACCGAGGGACCGUCACUGGAGGUUCCGGACCGGUGGACCGUCGCUGGAGGUUCCGGACCGGGGACUGUCGUCGGAGGUUCUGGACUGUGGACCGUCGCCGGAAGCUCUGGACUGGGAACUGUCGCCGGAAGCUCUGGACUGGGAACUGUCGCCGGAAGCUCUGGACUGGGNNNNNNNNNNGUGCGGACUCCCGGCUUCUACCUUCGGUGGCGGCUCUGGUUCUGGACGCAGUCCCCCCUCCUUACGCUGAUCCCUCCGCUUUUGUGGAUGCGGACCGCGAAUCAUCAGCGACAACCCCGGACCGGGGAUCGUCGCCAGAGAGCCUUGACCGGGGACCGUCGCUGGAGGUUCCGGACCGGGGACCGUCGCUGGAGGUUCCGGACCGAGGGACCGUCACUGGAGGUUCCGGACCGGUGGACCGUCGCUGGAGGUUCCGGACCGGGGACUGUCGUCGGAGGUUCUGGACUGUGGACCGUCGCCGGAAGCUCUGGACUGGGAACUGUCGCCGGAAGCUCUGGACUGGGAACUGUCGCCGGAAGCUCUGGACUGGGAACUGUCGCCGGAAGCUCUGGACUGUGGAGGCGCACUGGAGGCCUGAUGUGUGGCACCGGUACUGAUGGUACCGGGCUGAUGACACGCACCUCAGGGCGAAUGUGGGGAGGAGGCACAGGACGUACUGGACUGUGGAGGCGCACUGGAGGUCUGAUGCGUGGUGCCGGCACUGGUGGUACCGGGCUGGGGACACUCAUCUCAGGGCAAGUGCGGGGAACUGACUCAGGUGGCAUCGGACGGCAAAAACGCUCCUCAGGGCGAAUGCCAUGCAUACUACGCCAAACCAACAGCUCUCUCUCUUCACUCUCCUCCAAUUUGUCCAACAGUUCCUCGAAGGUUUCUAACUCUCCCCUCCGUUCACUCUCCUCCAAUUUGUCCAAUAACUCAUCGACAGUCUCUGACUCACCCCUCGGCUUGGCCGACCAACCCGUGUGCCCCCCUAAAGAAUUUUCUUGGGGCUGCCUCUUGGGCUUCCGUCGACGACAUUGCUGUCCUCUCAUGCUCCUAGGCGACUCCCGCCAAGGAAGGCGAUCCUGUCCUGCCAGGAUUUCCUCCCAAGUCCAGGAUCCCUUCCCAUCCAGGAUCUCUUCCCAAGUUCAGGAUACUUCCUCCUCCUGGGCACGCUGCUUGGUCCUUUGUUGGUGGGAUCUUCGGUCACGUUCGUUAUAAGGAUCGGACCAAGGAGCAGCGAGCUGUGCGUAAAUUCUUAUUCAUUUAUAGAAUGAAACACUGAACAAACUAACAAAACGAAACGUGAAGCUAUACAAACGAGUGCUGACAGGCAACUAUACAUAGACAAGAUCUCACAGCAGAAAGUGGGAAACAGGGCUGCCUAAAUAUGAUCCCCAAUCAGAGACAACGAUAAACAGCUGUCUCUGAUUGGGAACCAUAUCAGGCCAACAUAGAAAUACAAAACCCCUAGAUUACAACAACCCUAGACAUACAAAACCCUAGACAUACAACACUAGAGUACCCACCCUAGUCACACCCUGACCUAACCAAAAUAAAU